GUGAUGGGGUAGAAAGUUGUUCCAAAUAUUAACUGGUCUCGUGAGAUGUCUUCUUGGCUGCAGCCUGACCAUCUAACGUACUGCUUUUCCUCCAGCUGCUGCCUCCUCCUUUCCCUCUGCCGCAGGCUGGAAUGAAGGGCGGCGGGUGGCCAGGGUGGGGGGGCGGGGAGGAGAAGGAGGAGCAGCAAAGUUGGCCAGGGUCCUGCUGGCUGGGGACCAGGACUGCCUCCCUAAACAAGCAAGCAGGGGCGCAUACAGCCCUGGGUUGAGUUGUUGCCCUUAAUCAUCUGGCCACAGCAGGAAUAAGAGGCUCCCGGAAAACCCUGGCUCUUGGCUAUCUCUUCCAUGAGCACACCCUCGCCCUGGGGCCUGAGAUCUCUCCAUGCAGAGGCAGCCAUGAACUGCGGGGGCAGCAGCAAGGCUGGCCACACCACCCACCCCGCCACCUCCGGCCCCGCCGCUCAACCAGCCAUCAGUCCCUUAACUGCCAGUGUUCGUGGACCAUGCAAAACAACCAACAGAUCCCAGCCAGCCUAGAAGCAGGCUCACGGUUUUCCAUGGAGGGCUUGGAUAGUAAACUGAUCCUGGAUGUUGGCGGCAUAUGCCACCUGAUCUACAUCAGCACCAUGAGGGCCUUUCCAGGUACCUGCCUCUACAAGCCAACUGAGCCAUCCCCGCCUGGCACCCCAGGUUCUCAGGGCCCACUGGUUCGAGAGCUUUUCUUUUCUUUUCUCUUUCUUUCUUUCUUUUUUUUUUUUUUGAAAUGGAGUUUCGUUCUUGUUGCCUAGGCUGGAGUGCAAUGGCACAAUCUCGACUCACUGCAACCUCUGCCUCCUGGGUUCAAGUGAUUUUCCUGCCUCAGCCUCCCAAGUAGCUAGGAUUACAGGUGUGUACCACUAUGCCCGGCUAAUUUUUUGUAUUUAGUAGAGACGAGGUUUCACCAUGUUGGUCAGGCUGGUCUGGAACUUCUGACUACAGGUGUGAGCCACUGUGGCCGGCCGAGAGUUUUUCUUUGACAGCAACCCUGAGCU
rnacentral:lncRNA from 1 species